AUUGAACGCUGGCGGCAUGCCUUACACAUGCAAGUCGAACGGCAGCACGGGUGCUUGCACCUGGUGGCGAGUGGCGAACGGGUGAGUAAUAUAUCGGAACGUACCUUAUUGUGGGGGAUAACGCAGCGAAAGCUGUGCUAAUACCGCAUAAUCCCUAAGGGGGAAAGCGGGGGACCGUAAGGCCUCGCGCAAUUAGAGCGGCCGAUACCUGAUUAGCUAGUUGGUGAGGUAAAGGCUCACCAAGGCAACGAUCAGUAGCUGGUCUGAGAGGAAGAUCAGACGCACGGGGACUGGGACACGGCCCAGACUCCUACGGGAGGCAGCAGUGGGGAAUUUUGGACAAUGGGGGCAACCCUGAUCCAGCAAUGCCGCGUGAGUGAAGAAGGCCUUCGGGUUGUAAAGCUCUUUUGUCAGGGAAGAAACAGCAGCUCUAACACAGUAUGCGAAUGACGGUACCUGAAGAAUAAGCACCGGCUAACUACGUGCCAGCCGCCGCCGUAA
rnacentral:rRNA from 1 species